rnacentral:rRNA from 2 species
GGGUUGUGAGGUUAAGCGACUAAGCGUACACGGUGGAUGCCCUGGCAGUCAGAGGCGAUGAAGGGCGUGCUAAUCUGCGAUAAGCGCCGGUAAGGUGAUAUGAACCGUUAUAACCGGCGAUACCCGAAUGGGGAAACCCAGUGUGAUUCGUCACACUAUCAUUAACUGAAUCCAUAGGUUAAUGAGGCGAACCGGGGGAACUGAAACAUCUAAGUACCCCGAGGAAAAGAAAUCAACCGAGAUUCCCCCAGUAGCGGCGAGCGAACGGGGAGGAGCCCAGAGCCUGAAUCAGCAUGUGUGUUAGUGGAAGCGUCUGGAAAGGCGCGCGAUACAGGGUGACAGCCCCGUACACAAAAGCGCAUGUGCUGUGAGCUCGAUGAGUAGGGCGGGACACGUGGUAUCCUGUCUGAAUAUGGGGGGACCAUCCUCCAAGGCUAAAUACUCCUGACUGACCGAUAGUGAACCAGUACCGUGAGGGAAAGGCGAAAAGAACCCCGGCGAGGGGAGUGAAAAAGAACCUGAAACCGUGUACGUACAAGCAGUGGGAGCACCCUUUGGGGUGUGACUGCGUACCUUUUGUAUAAUGGGUCAGCGACUUAUAUUCUGUAGCAAGGUUAACCG